UGCCAGCCGCCGCGGUAAUACGGAGGGUGCAAGCGUUAAUCGGAAUCACUGGGCGUAAAGCGCGCGUAGGCGGUUUGAUAAGUCAGAUGUGAAAGCCCCGGGCUCAACCUGGGAACUGCAUUUGAAACUGUCAGACUAGAGUGUGGUAGAGGGAAGUGGAAUUCCGAGUGUAGCGGUGAAAUGCGUAGAUAUUCGGAGGAACAUCAGUGGCGAAGGCGACUUCCUGGACCAACACUGACGCUGAGGUGCGAAAGCGUGGGGAGCAAACAGGAUUAGAUA
rnacentral:rRNA from 1 species